UACGGAGGGUGCAAGCGUUGUUCGGAAUCAUUGGGCGUAAAGCGCGUGUAGGCGGCUCGGCAAGUCGGGUGUGAAAGCCCUGGGCUUAACCUAGGAAGUGCACUCGAAACUGCCAAGCUUGAGUUCUGGAGAGGAAGGCGGAAUUCUCGGUGUAGAGGUGAAAUUCGUAGAUAUCGAGAGGAACACCGGUGGCGAAGGCGGCCUUCUGGACAGCAACUGACGCUGAGACGCGAAAGCGUGGGGAGCAAACAGG
rnacentral:rRNA from 1 species